CCUACGGGAGGCAGCAGUGGGGGAUAUUGCACAAUGGGGGAAACCCUGAUGCAGCGACGCCGCGUGUGGGAAGACGGUCCUCUGGAUUGUAAACCACUGUCCCCAGGGACGAAGAUGACGGUACCUGGGGAGGAAGCUCCGGCUAACUACGUGCCAGCAGCCGCGGUAAUACGUAGGGAGCGAGCGUUGUCCGGAAUUACUGGGUGUAAAGGGAGCGUAGGCGGGACUGCAAGUUGGGUGUCAAAUCUACCGGCUCAACCGGUAGCCGCACUCAAAACUGCAGUUCUUGAGUGAAGUAGAGGCAGGCGGAAUUCCUAGUGUAGCGGUGAAAGGCGUAGAUAUUAGGAGGAACACCAGUGGCGAAGGCGGCCUGCUGGGCUUUUACUGACGCUGAGGCUCGAAAGUGUGGGGAGCAAACAGGAUUAGAUACCCCUGUAGUC
rnacentral:rRNA from 1 species